GCCUAAGUAGCUCAAUUGGUAGAGCAGCGCAUUCGUAAUGCGGAGGUUGUCGGUUCGAGUCCGGUCUUAGGCA
rnacentral:tRNA from 1 species